AGGAAAUACAAAAGGACCCCAAAAGAAGCCAAAACUCAUCCUGAACAGAGAAGGGCGGCGAAGCUGGUGAGGGGUCUGGAGAACAAGUCUUACGAGGAGCGGCUGAGGGAGCUGGGAUUGUUCAGCCUGGAGCAGAGGAGGCUCAGGGGCGACCUUAUUGCACUCUACAGGAAACCUGCUCUCUGAAGAACUGCAAAGGAGGUAAACACAUGGCUUUCCUGGAAUAGCUUUGGGAUGCCAAAAGCAUGAAUGAAAUCAGUGAGAACUUCCUCCUAUGUGCGUUACACUGGAUUAAGCUUCAGGUAUGUUUCAGGAGGCCACUCCAAGAACGGGUGACUCACAAGCCUUGUACCAAACAGCCAUUGCCAUCAGUCACGGACAGCUUUUUUCUCAGCAAAACCCGGUAAAAGUAGUUUGAACUCCAUCUAUCAGUGACAGAAGAAGUGGACAACAAAGCAUAAAUUAAAACUAGGAAAACUAAAGAUACUUUCACAUUUUUAUUUUCCACCAAGAGUAACAGGGUAGUAAGAGUAAUAACACAUACUAGUUGUUAAUUGGCAAAACCACAGCAGCUCACUUGACUUCAGGAGGGAGCAGUAUGUUUCUCUUCUGGAACUUACAGGAACAUUUAGAAACCAAUGAAUGCAGAGAAAGAGAUCAGAAAAUCAAGUAGCACUCAGAGAAAGUGAGAAAAAUGCCAACUCCCUUCUCCUAGUUACUUUUCCAUACUUUUCUGCUUACGCUAUCAGCUCUUCAAGUAGAUAACUGUUUUUUUUCCAAGAUGAAAAUUUUGAUUGAAAACCGAGUGCCUGCAACACUCAGUGUACUUUUAACUGCAAAGAAUCAGAAGCAGGAGAAAUUUCAUAGAACCUAAUUUCAUAGGUUUGCUCUUACAUCUGGUACGUGAAACAGCACAGAUGCCAACUGCUAACAAUGCACUGUCCUGUUUGCCUAAGGUUAAGAGCAGAGCCCCCUGAGAACCAGAACUCAUGUUGAGGUUUGGAAGGCUGAUACUGGGAGAACAUGGCUAUUCCUUCACAGCUCCUCACCUUUGUGUACAGCCUCCACAAACUCUUUUUGAAGUUUGCCCAUACUUUUAUGAAGUACACUCCCUCUUCUUUCCUCUAGUUUUUCUUUUCCUGCAUCCCCGUGUUCUGUUUCUGGCUGGAACUGGCAGUGGAAUUGCUGAACAAACCGAUCCAAGUUGUUUUGAUCCAAGCCGAUCCAACUGUAUUGCUGACUCAAUCCUGAGAGCCUGUUCUCAUCAGAUUUCACUGCAGCAUUCCAGAUUUCAGUACCCAAAAAAUUCAGAUGCUUAUCUAAACCAAACUUCCUGAGGGUGAACUAUCCCCAGUGCUAAGACAGCAAGAGCAGGGCCGACACACACUUGAACGAGAUUCCAUCAGAGCACAGGAGACAGCAUGCCAACUACGCUUAAAGCAAUAUCUACCUACAUAACUUCAACUCAGUCUGACUUGGUAAAUUACUGAGUUAAUUGCCUUGGUAUUCAUAUUUACAUUCAAAAGAGGAUACACAGAUCUGAGGUCAAAUCAUUAAACUGUUCCAUUAAAAACUUUGUUUUAGGCAAAUGGACUUCAGAAAACUUCCUUUAUAAUGUAAAAUGGAACCAUCUGUACAUAAAUUUUGGGACUUAUUUUGAUGUUAGGUUUAUUGAUAUAAUUAUGUAGUUACUAAGCUGUUUACUGUUUCAGGCUCCUAAUAGCUAUUAGGGCUAUGGUUUGGAAGGAGAAAACAAAAAUUUUAAAUGUGUUUAUUUCCAUGUUUUAUACUUGCACGUAGCAUCUACUUCCUUCAAUGUGAAAAUUUAUGAAGAAGUUUUGUCUUGAUUUGCUUAGCUUUGCUGCUUGGACAGCCAUAUUGUAAUUAUCACAACAGUAUGAGACCUCACAGAACAUUUUACUUACUGUUUAAAGAAAAGUCCAAUGGAUAUCCCAAGAUAAAAUAUUUCUUCAUAUUUACUCUAUUCUUAAAGCAGUAAGAUGA